UACGUAGGUGGCAAGCGUUGUCCGGAAUUAUUGGGCGUAAAGCGCGCGCAGGCGGUCCUUUAAGUCUGAUGUGAAAGCCCACGGCUCAACCGUGGAGGGUCAUUGGAAACUGGGGGACUUGAGUGCAGAAGAGGAGAGUGGAACUCCACGUGUAGCGGUGAAAUGCGUAGAGAUGUGGAGGAACACCAGUGGCGAAGGCGACUCUUUGGUCUGUAACUGACGCUGAGGCGCGAAAGCGUGGGGAGCAAACAGG
rnacentral:rRNA from 1 species